CGCAACUUUAUGCUUGAUGGUCGUGCUUCAGCAGCGACUAUAAACGUGCUCCCGCCGACUGUAGAAUCAAUUUUUUGCCACAACUCUGGUGGGUUUAUCUGUGGAGGUUGGUCCAAAUGGAGCGUGAAGUCGUGUGGCGCGCUAAUGGCGAGGAAGACCUGGCCAGGUAAGCCCCAGGGGGGCUCUCCCAACGCACAGCAGGAUCGAGAAUUGCCAUAGGUUCAGUGCCUUGGCUAGCAUUUGUUCACAAGAUGAGUGCAAUGGAAUCGGCCGCACCGCUCGCAAACGUGGAGUGUAUCCGUAACAGGGACCGGGAUUCCCGGCGAGAACAUCUUGGAUACACCAUGGACGACGAGUAUGCCAACAUGACACGACCCUACGCCUAUCGAGGCGACUCCACGCUACCUAGGCCAUACAGAACAGGGGCGGGGGAAAAGGAGUACGUGCAGGGGAGGGGAUACGAUUAUGACCAGGAGUACUGGCCCCAGAAAACUGCAAGUUUGCCAAGAAGUGCGGCAAACGGGGUCAACAGGACACACAAUGUGCGGGAGAACUUCGUAGCCGGGGGUUUCCGAAAACAUGGACUACAGCCGUCACAGACUGGUAGCAGGCCCAAUGCCACGAGUUACAGCGAGGAGCACGUCACCGGACAAAACAUUAACAGCCCCGACUUGCGAGUCUCGAUUGACAAUGCGAGGUCCCUCUCGCCGAUUUCAAAUACGUCCAGUUUCUCUUCGCCCCAGCAGCACAGUUUAGGAAGCCAUGGCAGUAUCUCCACAAGUAACUCGAUGAGCCCCCAUAAGAAAAAAUCCCGUAAACCUUCAUUCCGAGCUUUUGGCAGCUUGAUCCAGAAAAUGAUGAGGCAGAUACGAAGCAUGGACGAUUCUCAAAACUCUGGUGAGGACUCAAGAAGUGUUCACACAAACGAUGACUUGGAUAACUUGAAUAUGAAUCAUGGUGUGCAUUUGUCGCCUGUGAACUCCAACCCUGUUCGGCUGAAUGGCAAAGUCCCCGGCCUCUCUGGGCUGCAGAACCAUGGCAACACGUGCUUCAUGAAUGCCAUCGUCCAGUGCCUCAGCAACACCGACAUGCUGGCUGAGUACUUUGUCCUGGAGCAGUACCACCAAGACAUGCGUCGGAGCAAGAAAAACAACAAGAAGUUUGGAACUAGAGGGGAGGUCACCGAACAGCUGGCUUUGCUGAUGAAAUCGGUGUGGUCAUGCCAGUAUCUGCCCCAGCACACCACGGAAUUCAAGCGCAUUGUGUCCAAGUACAGUGGUCAGUUCCGUGGGAAUGACCAACAUGAUGCACAAGAGUUUCUCAUCUGGCUUCUGGACAAAGUACAUGAAGAUUUGAACUGUGCCCCAAAGAAGAAAUACAAACAGGUCAAGAAUCGUCACAACAAGAAUGACGAGAUCCUGGCUGCCGAGAUGUUGGCCAAUCACAUGCGUCGUAACAACAGCUUCAUCCACGACCUAUUCCAGGCACAGCUGCGGUCGUCACUGACCUGCCCGCACUGCGGCCGGCAGAGCAACACCUUUGACCCCUUCUUGUGCGUGUCCCUGCCCAUACCCCAACGCACAACACGAGUUAUGGCCGUAGCCGUGGUGUACAUGGACCGGGAGCCCAGGGUAGUGAGGGUGGGCGUGGUGAUGGACAUUGGCGCCACUGUGGCUGAUCUAAGGUCAGAGGUUGCCCGUCAGUGCAGCAUGGCAGUUACUAGGAUUGUUCUGACGGAAGUUUACUUUGAUGGUUUCUAUCGUUCCUACCAUGACAACCUCCCAUUGAGCGAACUGAGGGAAAGUGAUAGCGUGUACGCCAUUGAGACACCGCACAUUGCACAGGCCCUGGCCACCAAUACGCAGGUGCAGGGGUACCUGUACGUACAUUGCAACCGACCUGUUGGAGAGGUCAUCACCAUGGUGAUCCUAAACCAGCAGGGUCUCAGCAAGACUGGAAGAAGGUUUGGUCAUCCGAUAGCCAUUGAGGUCGACCGCAGCAUAACCAAUCAACAGCUGAGGAUUGUCAUCCUGAAGAAGAUGGGCUGUAGCCACGUGGACCAGGUCUUGACCAAGGGACCGCUGCUGAGGGUUGGUGUAGUCACGGACGCCAAGGGCUCCAGGCACUUCUUAAUGCCCGAUGAGUCCAGGCCUCUACACAAUACGGUCAUCACUAGGUUAUUACAAGCCACAGCUGAGGAGGGAGGACCAGCCCACAUCAAGGCGGUGGUGGAAUGGGAACACGACAUCCGAUUCACCUUCUCCCAGAAGGUUCUGAGCAUCUUCAUUGAGGAAGAUGAGAGUGUACAGAAGCAGAGACUGGCCCACCAACAACCAGUCAAGGCAUCCCUGGCAGACUGCAUGGACCUGUACACACAGGAAGAAAAGCUUGGACCAGACAAUGCCUGGAGUUGUCCCUUCUGCAAGAAACUCCAGCAGGGUUCAAAGCGACUCAGCUUGUGGUCGUUACCUGACAUCCUUGUCAUACAUCUAAAGCGAUUCAAGCAGCUGAGCACAAGCCGCACCAAGUUGAACACUCUGGUGGAAUUCCCCAUCCACGGUCUCAACAUGGCCCAGUACAUUGCCCGCAGGCAGCAGAAUGCCCACGCUGCCUCCCUCAACGCGCUGACUGGCUGGUCACCCUGGCGACACAUCCACAGACGACGGACGCAUCACGUGACGGAGCAUGUCUACGAUCUGUACGCAGUGUGCAACCACAUAGGUAGCAUGCAAGGCGGGCAUUAUACAGCAUACUGUCGCAAUCCCGCCGACAACCAGUGGUACAACUUCGACGACUCCAAGGUGGUUACUCUGCCUGAGGACACCCUGUUGACCCGCAAUGCCUACAUCCUCUUCUACCACCGCCGCAGCCUGUCUAGCACCAGCACCAGCAGCAGCAGCUCAAGCAGUUCCACCUGUUCCUCGGGCUCAGACCACUGGAUCCACCGCUUGCCGGCCUUCAAGCAGCAGCAGAAACAACAGCUGCAGCAGCAACAGCAGCUGGGCUCCAGCCAGGAGGACGUGCUGUCGGAUGAGGCCUCCAAUGACAACAGCCUGUCCUCGUUGGGUGCGCUGCGAGGUGAGAGGUCACUGAGCCUGGGCCGGCGCACCGACCUGCAGGAUGACCUCAGCGAUGAGGACUGUGGUGGCUUUGCCAGUCAGCAGCGGCCAUUUGUCCGCGGUGUCUUUGCCAGCGCUACCUUGCCACGAUCUCUCCAUCAAGGCAUCCGGUACAUUGACAGCGAUGCAGAGAGCGUCAUGACGGAGUCUUGCGUCUGAGUCCAACAUAUGAUGGUCUUGUCAAAGCCGAGUAUCAAGCAGGGAGGUAUUGUACUGAGUUUGGAGUGUGCACACCAACUAGAUUUUUUUGGAUGAAUUUUUGGAUACAGAAGAGGAUUUCAUCAAACAUUGCCACACUCUUUAAACUUUUUAUGAAUACUUGGUUCCUUUGUUCAUGGUUUUGGAAACAAUCCAUUGUUUUGGGAAAAAAAUUCAGGAAACUGGUAGAUUCAUGCAUGUUUAAAAUUUCAAAUGCCCAUGGUACAGUAGUUGAGUUUGAACAAUCCUUCCUGUUGUGAUAUGGUGAAAUUUUUCAGUGUUGUGAAAAAGAUACAGUCUGUGCAAUUUUUGGUGGUGUGAGAGAAGCAGCUGGGUCACAGAAUCUGGCAAAUUGAUAUGUGGUAGGCAGUGGUCCAGAAUUGCUAAUUCAUACUGAUAUGCGUAGGUGAGACAGUGGUGGACAGGUGUUUGUACAUUCACAGGUUCUCUGCCCAACCAUUACCUGAGUUGUAAAAUGUGAAGUAUUGCUGUCAGCAAAAGACAAUUUAGCACCAUUUCCAUUUGCACCUACACACUGAUGUAUUUGUGUUGUGAGGUCAUAUAUAAAAGUUACAGCUGCGGCUGAAAAUAACACAUUUGCCUGUGGGAACUAUUGGCUAGCCACAACCACUUCCCAUAGACAUGUGUCACUCCUGACAGCAGCCAUUUGAAUUAGACACAGCCUGGCAGAAAUACCACAGUUGUGCACAUUCAGUUGAAAAUUGGCCAUGCAUACAUCACAUCCUUUGCAUGCACAUAUUUGUCUGAGUACACUGGCUUCCUUGUCUCUUGUGCAUAGGUUGCACAAGCCUCACCGACAGUUCCUGUACAGGGUACAUUACUAGUCACUAGAAAUGUUGCAGUAGUCCGCAACUAGUACAGUGAAAGGACAUGGAGACUAGAACGAGUAAAUGGCUUUUGCCUCUAAGUGUAGACAGGAAUUCAAAUGAAGGUAUUCAAAUGACACUUUGUCACAGCACUCUUACCCAGGUAUGUGUAUUUACAUAAUGUGUUUUAAAGUCAACCGUUGAGCAAUUUUUUUUAAUGUUAAUAAUCUGUGUUUAAGUGAGAUUUGAAGCUUUGC
rnacentral:misc_RNA from 1 species